GACGAACGCUGGCGGCGUGCCUAAUACAUGCAAGUUGAGCGCUGAAGGUUGGUACUUGUACCAACUGGAUGAGCAGCGCACGGGUGAGUAACGCGUGGGGAAUCUGCCUUUGAGCGGGGGACAACAUUUGGAAACGAAUGCUAAUACCGCAUAAAAACUUUAAACACAAGUUUUAAGUUUGAAAGAUGCAAUUGCAUCACUCAAAGAUGAUCCCGCGUUGUAUUAGCUAGUUGGCGAGGUAAAGGCUCACCAAGGCGAUGAUACAUAGCCGACCUGAGAGGGUGAUCGGCCACAUUGGGACUGAGACACGGCCCAAACUCCUACGGGAGGCAGCAGGAGGGAAUCUUCGGAAAUGGACGAAAGUCUGACCGAGCAACGCCGCGUGAGUGAAGAAGGUUGUCGGAUCGUAAAACUCGGUUGGUAGAGAAGAACGUUGGUGAGAGUGGAAAGCUCAUCAAGUGACGGUAACUACACAGAAAGGGACGGCUAACUACGUG
rnacentral:rRNA from 1 species